rnacentral:rRNA from 1 species
CAGUCGCCGCGGUAAUACGUAGGGUGCGAGCGUUGUCCGGAAUUACUGGGCGUAAAGAGCUCGUAGGCGGUUUGUCGCGUCGUCUGUGAAAUUCUGCAGCUUAACUGUAGGCGUGCAGGCGAUACGGGCAGACUUGAGUACUACAGGGGAGACUGGAAUUCCUGGUGUAGCGGUGAAAUGCGCAGAUAUCAGGAGGAACACCGGUGGCGAAGGCGGGUCUCUGGGUAGUAACUGACGCUGAGGAGCGAAAGCGUGGGUAGCGAACAGGAUUAGAUACCCCAGUAGUCCCUGUCUCUUAUAC